AACCAUAUCUACAAUCAAAGGAAGGAAAGGAAAAAAGGAAAAAAGGUGAAAAAAAGGAUCACAGAUGUUGGGUGCAUUUGUGAUCCAUUUUUUUUCU
rnacentral:ribozyme from 16 species